rnacentral:rRNA from 1 species
GGAUGAGCCCGCGGCCUAUCAGCUUGUUGGUGAGGUAACGGCUCACCAAGGCGACGACGGGUAGCCGGCCUGAGAGGGCGACCGGCCACACUGGGACUGAGACACGGCCCAGACUCCUACGGGAGGCAGCAGUGGGGAAUAUUGCACAAUGGGCGCAAGCCUGAUGCAGCGACGCCGCGUGAGGGAUGACGGCCUUCGGGUUGUAAACCUCUUUCAGCAGGGAAGAAGCGCAAGUGACGGUACCUGCAGAAGAAGCGCCGGCUAACUACGUGCCAGCAGCCGCGGCCG